AUAUUGCCACCUCAAUCUUUCUGUUUCCUCUUUCAGCCCACAAAUCAGGUUGUACUUUACUGGCCAAUACUUGCAUCUGGAUAGAUGUAGGAUUGUUCUGAUCAUCUCUAUUUGAGGGUUUUGGCUGAAAAACAUCAGGUGCUUGCGGUGAAAUGUUGAUGCGAGGAAAAUGCAAAACUCACCUUUAUCUGGGCACCUCUGAUAGUUCCCGUACUUUAACAGUAUCUGCAAGAAGCUUUCUAAAACAUCUUGAUGACAGUCUAUAGUAUUUGGUGAUAGCAGCAUAUAGGACUGCGAAGCAGCAGUCCUGAUCAUUGUCAGUUUAAAAGAGGACUUAACAAAACGGACGAGAAAAC